UGCGUAGGCGGGUUUCUAAGUCAGAGGUGAAAGCCUGGAGCUCAACUCCAGAACUGCCUUUGGUACUGGAAGUCUUGAGUAUGGCAGAGGUGAGUGGAACUGCGAGUGUAGAGGUGAAAUUCGUAGAUAUUCGCAAGAACACCAGUGGCGAAGGCGGCUCACUGGGCCAUUACUGACGCUGAGGCACGAAAGCUGGGGAGCAAACA
rnacentral:rRNA from 1 species